rnacentral:snRNA from 1 species
UUGAGUUGAGUUGAGUUGGCCCA